UUUUUCCCAAUCUUUUGAAAUACCCUCCUAAUUUUUCCUCCGUUCGGUACUCUAUAGCCCCCAAAGUAAAAACCCUCGAACGAAAAGCCCGUAGUGCUGAUUUCUUCUUGGUCGUCGUCGAUCUCUCAUCGGCAUCUUCACUGGUCGUCGAUCUCUCAUUGUGGCCGCAGGACCAGUGGAUAUGCAGGUGUUCGAUCACGUCUUUUUGCAAAGAGUGAAACUUAAAAUGAAGUCUUUUUAUGAAGUGAAAGUUUGAACAAGCAAGAGUAAGUCCGAUUUGGUUUGUUUCUGUUUUAAUAUCGCCUUACUAAUAAAAAACAUGUCCGACGGGAGGUCUCGUGUCUUUGUCUUACAGAGGUUUACAAAUUAUGUUGCUUAUUUAAGAUAUUGCAAGGGAUUAUAUAUUUUAAUUGACAUAUUUCAUGUAUUUGUUCUACAUCUAUGCUAAUGGAUACUGCACUCCAAGGUUGAGCCAUGGUGAUCGAGGCUGAUCUAUUAAUCUGCUUCAAAGUCAAGUCAUGUAGAAAAUGUGGUGCAGUUCAUGGCAAACAUUUGACUAUGUGAGUUGGGAGUGAGAUCCAAGGUCACCAUUGUGAAGAGCUCCAUUCAAUCAAAAUGCAUUUCUUGGAGUUGGAUGAGUUAAAAGAUGUGCACGUAAGGGAUGAUGUAGCUGUCAUGCAAUAUCUUGUCUGGCUGGAUAAGCAGGAACAAGUCAUGAUGUGUAACUAUAAUCGGCAUUGCUCCCUCUUGGUUUAAUAGGCAAAAGGAAAGCAAUAGGUGCAGCAUUUGACCUUUGUAUUUACUCUUUGUAAGUAUAAUCAUUUUGAUGAACUUCUCAGUAGCUCCCGAUGGCGGUGAGACGUUCCUUAGGACAAGUUCUUAGUGAGAUGUUUUCGUCGAAUGUAUUCAAGCUUCUUCGUGAUCUCAAUUUUAUUGUUUCAAGCUUCUUCGUGAUCUCAAUUUUAGUGUUAGGAUUUGAUAUCUGUAAUUUUGUCUAGUAUAUUGAACUGAUGCAAUGUCUGCAUAUACUCUCCUUGUAUUGAAAUCUUAGUGUAUAAUAUAAUGUUCUUAUUAAUUUGGUGCGCAACAGUGGAAGAUGACUGAGUGGGUAAUUUAGCCCGGAUUUUUUUUUAUUGAACUUCAAAUUAUUAUGGGUAAUUACAAUUUCGUAA